GUGUGCGGCUUCUUCCCAUUUUAGGCGGCCGCGGGGCGGGGGGGGAGGUGGCGGUGCCGCGGGGCCGGGCCCUCACAUGGCGGCCGCGGAGCCCCCUCAGCGCCCCGGGGCCGCCUCGCGGAGUGGUUUCGGUGGCUCCUCAGCGGCCGUGGCGCAGCCGGGAGGCUCCGGAGAAGCAGCGGUGGUGCCGCUGGUGGUGGUGCUCGGCGGGACCGCCUCCGCCGGAGGGAGGCGGAACAGGCGGCCGCGGGGCUGUGAGGCGGCUGCAGCAGAAAAAUUCUGUCCACCUGGGUGUAUCUGUUGCAGCUGGCGUGCCUUGGAAGUUCUUGGCACGUCAUCCAUCUAACUACUAAGCUGAAGACUUGUGUAGCAGCUGCCGUUUCAGUGUGGCGGAGAGCUUUGGUUGCCAUCACCUGGAACCAAGUGAUCAGUCUGUCCUCCAAAACCUGAAGUAAGUGCUCGAGAUCAAGUGUGGAUUCCGUUACUGCUCUGGGUGGUAACAUUACUUCACGUGGCUGCUGAAGGAGAAUAUUCUUACGUACGUUUUCACAGGCUAACUGGUAUUUUAAAUGUCAGGAGUAAAGGUGAAAGAUUAGAUCUAGCUGUCAUUCAUGCGUCAUCACACUUUGUUUCAGCCUUCCAUGUAACUUGUUUGCAACAGGCACAACUUGGUACUAGAAAUGUAUUCUGUGCGUAUAUCCACGUGGGCUGUGCCAGUGCAUCAACCAUUCUAGCACAGUAAACCUAACGAGCACAGAAUUAAAAUAAAAUUAACUGGUUUCCAAAGCAUUUCUACUGCAUGCAGCUUUUUUUCUUUUUGCCUGGCCUCCAAUGUGUAGGCUUUAUUGUUGGUCUAAACAGUUUACCUGUGCAAUUUUUGAUCUUUCAAAGUGAGAAGAGACGUUUUCUAUGGGAUUGGAAGAGUGGUUCUCUGUAAAUAUAGUCAGUCACUAGUCUACAGAGCAAAUAUGGUUUUAGUGUUCCUGAAAUAAACUCAAGUUGAAAACUUUUAAACUUGCAUGUGAAACUCUAGAUACUCCUAACUAAUUCUUCCUAAUGGAGUCAAAUCUUGUUUAUAAAUAGUAGUGCUUGAGUAGUUUCUCAUCUAAAUCAAACAUAUGGGGUGAAACUUGAAUGCAAAAACUGCUUUGGGGAGUUGCAGUUACAUAAUUUAAACUUUAUCAUUUAAAUGAGGUUGCAUGCUGUGUUUGAAGAAUCCUACUGCAGUCUUCCAAGUAAGUUAAGAUUUCUGGUAGAAUAUACUCCUCCUCAAAUACUGAACUUUUGGAACCGUCUUGGAUAUGGAUUCACUUCUUCAGCUUUUGGUGAAACCAGACUGGGAGUAAACAUACAUUGAAUGCGUGUCUGUUGUUCACAUUGUUCAUAUCUAAGAUGUUGACUGAUGCUGAAGUUGGAGAGCUAAAAUCAGUUUUUUCUUUUGGUAAAGAGAAGUAACUCCAGUUGGAUUAUUUUUCUCAAUACCUGUGUUAGAAUAUUCAGGAUAGUGUUGUUUUUUGUUCUUAAAGUAAUUUUCAGAGUGAUUUGUCACAGCCAAUCUGAAGUUAGAGUCCUCCUUGCUCAUGCUACCUGUUGCCAGUUUAUAUCUUGACUGUCUUUUUCCGUCUGCAGAAGGAGUAGUUUAAAAAGUAUAAGAGGAAAUAAAACUUAAAAGCUGUGUUUUCAUAUGCACAGCCUUUUUCUUGCUCAGUUUGGAUUUAUACUAAGACACAUUUCCAUACUUGCAGAGAAAGAAAAUACUGUUUUAAUACUGAAGGUGAGUCCUUGGACGUGGUCAACCUGCUAGCACAGGUGUCCCCUCCAAGCCUGUCAGCACUGACAAGCUGUUGAUUAAAAUGGGGGAUUGUUUCAGAUGCAGGCUGUCAAGCACCAUCACCCAGCUGGCUUAGGGCUAGGGCUGCAUGCUCUCUCCUUGUCACUUUUCCAGAAAGCAAUGCGUAUGCCACUAUUAGUAUGCAGCCCAGCAGAAAGAAGCAAAACUACUUGUGCAAGCAGGGAUGUUCAGCAAAAGAAAGCCUGUGAGGGCAGUAGUUAUGCCCUUUCUUCUAGGGCUUUUACUUGUCCAAAUUACUUUAAUCACUUCUGGUUAAUUUACUUUUCAGCCUCAGCCAACAAGACUGCAGUUCGUUGGUAUUGAUUCUUUUCUAAAAGCAUUAAUGCCCUCAGUCUUUUGAAUUAAAUGUUAUUAGCUGUAAGUAGCUGCUGUUAGUGAGAAUCACUUUGGCCAGUGAUUACCUUCUGAUUUUCCUCCUGCUUAGGCCUUUUUUCAAAAGCUACUUUUUCCUUUGUGUAUUUUGCUUGAAGGAUAUUAUUAGUGGUAGUUAACUUCCAAGUGGUGAGGGAAUUAGCUGACCAGCCAGCACUGUGUUAGCACAGUUAAGCUGUGAAUUAAUUGCAAGAUCGCGCUGUUUGCUGGUACCUUCAGGGAUAAGCUUUCUCCUGUCAGGAGCUGCAGUUCUGCUGUGCACUCUGCCACCCCAUUAGUUGCACCAGCACAGCGUAAACAGAACUGCGGAGAUGAGCUGUGUUGUGUUGACGUACAGAACUGUCAAGGAACAAAAUGUGUGACUUCUUGUGAGUUUAAUUAUUUUGGGUCAACGAAAUGUGUCCUAUUAGUGUGGUAGUGGUCUCUUCCUUGCGAGCAGCAAAAUGAGGUGACAAACUGCUAUGAGAAUGGAAAGGAGCAUUUGGCUGGGUGAAAUAGUUGCUUGUUAAACUGACUUUCCUACUGGAAACACAUCAAGCUAUGCUUUCAUUCUGCUUCCUGAGACAGCAUUUCAGAUUUCUUCUAUUCCUGAUGUAUAGAGAACCGGGUUUGGGGAAAAACAGCUUCCUAAAGUGGCAAUCUUUUUAGUGUGGAAAUGCACAGAAUGAGAGCUGAAAUUGCGCUUUAUGUAAGCAAGCUGUUAAAGUCACCUGAAACUUCCUUUGCUGCUGUUGGAACCUGUUAACGUAGUCUCCUUCCUACCCCAAAUAAUGAACGCAGCAGAUUCCUGCUUUUCUAAAAGCUCUGCGAACAAAACUUUCAAAAGCUUCCUGGUGUUAAUUUAAGCAUUGCUUUUUGUGUGUGUUCAGAAUGUAUCAGCCUCUGGGUGAAUUCACUGUAAGUUAACCUACCCUUAGAGUAACAGAAUGGUUUGGGUUUGAAGGGGUCUUAAAGAUGAGCUGAUUCCACCCUCCCAUGGGGAGACUAGCAAUCUGUUGCUGAAAGUGGACUCUUAAUGCAUGCGUUUGGGGCUUGCAGGCUAUACAUGUAAUAUCAAAUGAUGUCUAACUUUAUACAACAAUAAACAAAACUUUUUC